UCCUCUGGAAGAUUUUUUUCGUAAGACAAAAUUUAAGGUGUGAGCAGAGCCAUUAAAAAUUGUUAUGUGUAGGACAUGACCGGGAGAGACAGGUACAGUUACUGUAUAGCAACUGAAGUUGAUUUCCGGAAAUUAGUUCAAACAACAGUGGCAGAAAAAGAAAAAAGAAAACAACACAACAACAUCAUGAAAAAAAUAUAAGAAAAAGACAUGAUAUCCUAACAAUCUACUGGGAGCUUUUGGAGAAGAUAUGGAGACUGCUCUUUCAAAGUUUUAAUACUGAGGCCAAUGAGGCUUGCCAGAGACAGGCUUCUGGGAGACUGUUCAAAAAACAGGAAGAGGUUACACUACCACAAUGGGUAAAAGACUUAACAGAAGAUCUUCGCAGCCAUUUCUGUAGGUGCCUUCCACAGACAAGCCAUCAAAAUACAGGAAUUGUAUGUAUGGAGUUACCAGAAUGUGGUAAUUUCAUCAUUAGUCUUCAUGGAAACAGCAUGGGUUAGCCACGCUGCUCAUCAGCAGUGAGCCAAGCAGUCAAUGAAGGAUGGAGACCCCAAUGCAAUGGCAGUGCAUUUUAUGCAAAAUAACUACCUUUUGUGCCUUACUCUUUCUCUUCUGGGGAAAUAAAAAAAUACUUUCAAAAACA
rnacentral:lncRNA from 1 species